rnacentral:tRNA from 1 species
GUCAGGAUGUCCGAGCGGUCUAAGGCGCUGCGUUCAGGUCGCAGUCUCCCUUUGAGGCGUGGGUUCGAAUCCCGCUUCUGACA